AGCAGUGGGGAAUCUUGGACAAUGGGCGCAAGCCUGAUCCAGCCAUGCCGCGUGAGUGAUGAAGGCCUUAGGGUCGUAAAGCUCUUUCGCCAGAGAUGAUAAUGACAGUAUCUGGUAAAGAAACCCCGGCUAACUCCGUGCCAGCAGCCGCGGUAAUACGGAGGGGGUUAGCGUUGUUCGGAAUUACUGGGCGUAAAGCGCACGUAGGCGGAUUAGAAAGUHDGGGGUGAAAUCCCAGGGCUCAACCCUGGAACUGCCUUUGAAACUGCUAGUCUUGAGUUCGAGAGAGGUGAGUGGAAUUCCGAGUGUAGAGGUGAAAUUCGUAGAUAUUCGGAGGAACACCAGUGGCGAAAGCGGCA
rnacentral:rRNA from 1 species